UACGUAGGGGGCAAGCGUUGUCCGGAUUUAUUGGGCGUAAAGCGCGUGUAGGCGGCCAGGUAGGUCCGCUGUGAAAACUCGAGGCUCAACCUCGAGACGUCGGCGGAAACCAUCUGGCUAGAGUCCGGAAGAGGCGAGUGGAAUUCCCGGUGUAGCGGUGAAAUGCGCAGAUAUCGGCAGGAACACCCAGGGGGAAACCAGUGGACUGGGCAUGUGCUGACGCUCAGGUGCGAAAGCGUGGGGAGCGAACCGG
rnacentral:rRNA from 1 species